rnacentral:rRNA from 1 species
GAUGAACGCUGGCGGCGUGCCUAAUACAUGCAAGUAGAACGCUAAAGCUUGGUGCUUGCACCGAGCGGAUGAGUUGCGAACGGGUGAGUAACGCGUAGGUAACCUGCCUCUUAGCGGGGGAUAACUAUUGGAAACGAUAGCUAAUACCGCAUAAAAGUCGAUAUCGCAUGAUAUUGAUUUGAAAGGUGCAAAUGCAUCACUAAGAGAUGGACCUGCGUUGUAUUAGCUAGUUGGUGAGGUAACGGCUCACCAAGGCGACGAUACAUAGCCGACCUGAGAGGGUGAUCGGCCACACUGGGACUGAGACACGGCCCAGACUCCUACGGGAGGCAGCAGUAGGGAAUCUUCGGCAAUGGGGGCAACCCUGACCGAGCAACGCCGCGUGAGUGAAGAAGGUUUUCGGAUCGUAAAGCUCUGUUGUAAGAGAAGAACGAGUGUGAGAGUGGAAAGUUCACACUGUGACGGUAACUUACCAGAAAGGGACGGCUAACUACGUGCCAGCAGCCGCGGUAAUACGUAGGUCCCGAGCGUUAUCCGGAUUUAUUGGGCGUAAAGCGAGCGCAGGCGGUUAGAUAAGUCUGAAGUUAAAGGCUGUGGCUUAACCAUAGUACGCUUUGGAAACUGUUUAACUUGAGUGCAGAAGGGGAGAGUGGAAUUCCAUGUGCAGCGGUGAAAUGCGUAGAUAUAUGGAGGAACACCGGUGGCGAAAGCGGCUCUCUGGUCUGUAACUGACGCUGAGGCUCGAAAGCGUGGGGAGCAAACAGG